rnacentral:lncRNA from 1 species
CUCAUACUCAUGUCACAUGAGAACUCAUGGUUGGGAUAAUGCAAAGUAGUCCUUUGACCUGAGACAUCAUAGUUGUCUUGUGGUUAGGUCCUUGAUCUUUGACUAUGUCAAAGUCACUCUGUUAGAGGGUGUCCACGGCAUAGUUGGGGUUAAGUCACUUAGCCAUGGAGGCAAGUGAAUGCGCAACAAGGGAUCUCUAACCUUCAGACCAUUUGAGGGAGAAUACUCUAUAAUAUGAUUAAGAAUCUCUAACCAAAGUAUGAAUGAGAUUUAGGAAGUCGUUCCAAAUCACAUUCAAGGUAAUCAUAUAAGUAAAUGAAU